CGCUCUUCCUUUCCUGGAUGGCACCAGCAGGGCCGAUUGGAGUGGUAAACCCUGGGCCGGAAGGCAUGCCAAAGGGUGGACAGGAUGGACAGGAGACAGUAGCACAACGAGGAGGGGGAGAACGGCGGCUGAAUUGGAAAUGAUAAAAUAAAAUGAAAUUUUAGGAGCUCGCUGGCUGGGACAGGCCUGGACUGCAAAGAGGGGUCUUUGCACCAUCUCUGAAAAGCCGAUGUGUAUCCUCAGCUUUGAGAACUGAAUUCCAUGGGUUGUGUCAGUGUCAGACCUGUGAAAUUCAGUUCUUCAGCUGGGAUAUCUCUGUCAUCGUGGGCUUGAGGACCUGGAGAGAGUAGAUCCUGAAGAACUUUUUCAGUCUGCUGAAGAGCUUGGAAGACUGGAGACAGAAGGCAGAGUCUCAGGCUCUGAAGGUAUAAGGAGUGUGAGUUCCUGUGAGAAACACUCAUUUGAUUGUGAAAAGACUUGAAUUCUAUGCUAAGCAGGGUUCCAAGUAGCUAAAUGAAUGAUCUCAGCAAGUCUCUCUUGCUGCUGCUGCUACUCGUUUACAUUUAUUGAUUACUUAUGAUGAUUCAGGUACUGUUGUAAGUGCUUUACAUGCUGUUAUACGAGACUCUUGGGAGAAAUCACUUUAAUGAAGCUUGAGACACAUGGCAUUGCCAUGCAAUGAUUUUUCCCCCCUCUUCACGGGAUCAGAGGGAACUAAUAGAAUGUGACAAUGAUUCUUUAGCGGGGACUGCUGAGGCUUCUGGUUCCUUUUUAAGAUCUGCAGUGAAAGAAGAUUAGAAACAUGGAUAUGCCCUUCUUUUGGUCCCCCUCUUCCUUUAUUUGAUCUCUACUUCCUUCUAUAAAUAUAUUAGGGCUACAUUGUCCCUUUGUAUUUCAAACAAGGCAAAAAGAGGUUGUAAUUACACUUUACUGCAAUCCUCAUUUUCUCCAGGGAACAGGAAUGCAAAGGCUUUGAAGGCCUCUCUAUUUGCUGACAUGGUCAGCUGGGUGCCAUGGGCCAAGUCCUUCUGUUGCCCUCCUCUGUCACCAAGUAAGCUAGGUCCUUUCUGAGGCUCAGGUUUGCUAUGAUGAUGACCACUUUUAGGCAGAAGGUUAGAGGCCUCAUGAGUGCUAUAUGGACUUUACUAGGCUUUAGAUUUGAUGGGGAAUAAGGGAUGUGAUUUGUCUUUUGGGAACUCAUCUUUGAUUCAUCAUUGUCUCUUGGUAUCUUGGAAUUUCCAUGUCAUUACAGUCUACAGAAUGAAAGAGUAACCUGUCCCAGAGGAGAGGCAGGUGAAAGACUCCACAGCAUGCUCAUUCUCAUUCUGUCUUCUCAGUGACACCGAGGUUUACUGAGUGCCCACUAUGUGCCAAGCACUGUGCUCAGGGCUUUCUUUGUCUGCAUGAUCUCAGUGAAUCUCACCAAGCCUCAUCUGGAAAAUGGGGACAAAUUAACAACAGGAUGGCAAAUUGAAAAACACGUAACCAUGUUCUACAGAUGCAAAGGGGUGCUUGGUUAUUAUGAAGGCCCCCUCGCAAGCGUGUGGGACAUGGGUGUGUUCUCUGGGUUGUACUGAUCAGAUCAAGGACCUCCCCCACCCUUCUCACACUCUGCCCACUUCCGCCCUUUGCUUAUCAGACCCUUAGCCAGUGACUCAUUCCAGAACCAGAACCUUGGUGAAAUCUCAACUGACACCAGAGAUCGGUGUCUUCAGUCCUAGACUGAUGGAGAAAAUCCAGAAUAUAUACUAGAAGCUCCAAAUGCUCUGGGUUUCAGCUCCUCUGUGCUGUGGACACUGACUUUGGCUCAGAACUCCGAUUUAGUACAAAAGGCUCAUUUUUAUUUCAGGGGCACUCUUCCUAAAGCAAACCUAAUAAAUGAAAUAUGGAAUUCACAGAUACACACACACAUUAAAAAAUUAACCUAGUGUAUCUGUGAGGAGUAGGCAGAAAUUUACUGUAUAAAAGAAUGCUUCAUUUCAUAGAGAAUUUUUGUUAAGAUUCCAUUAGAUAGUACAUUUCUCAAAGAUUUUUGAGGUCGUAUUUGCUUUAUCAAAACUUGGUUUAUGUAAGUGGAAAAAGCAUGUUGCAAAAUAACUUGGUGUCUAUGAUUCAGUUUAUGUAAAAUAAUAAAUGUAUGUAGGAAUACGUGUGUUGAAAGAUGUACAUCAAUUUGUUAACAAUGGUUAUCUCUGACGUGGUGGGAUUUGAGAUGUGUUUUUCUUUUUGGUUGUAUUUUUCUCUAUUGUUUGACUUAACACAGAACAUGUUUGGUUACAACAAUAAAGUUAUUGAAGACAA
rnacentral:lncRNA from 1 species